AAUUGAGGUAGAUUACCUCCACAUGUUCCCACCUGCCAUCCAGCACAUGGGGGCAAGUCCACUUGACACUAAAAACUAGCCACUGGGCAGACAUCGCUGUGCAGUCGCUAGAAAAGUCCCAGAUCCAUGGGGAUGGGGCCUAUGAAAUAAUAGGGGUGACAUUGUCAAGGCACCGUGGGCAUUGGGUAGGGGCUACUUUAAAUUUUAAGACUGAGACCUAUUGUUCCCUCCCUUGGCCUCCACUCAUGCCAGCAGAUGGG